GGCUCCAUAGUGUAGUGGUUAGCAUGUCUGCUUUACAUGCAGAAGGUCCUGGGUUCACGCUCCAGGUGGAGCCA
rnacentral:tRNA from 1 species